GCAUAUCAAUAAGCGGAGGAAAAGAAACCAACAGGGAUUGCCUCAGUAGCGGCGAGUGAAGCGGCAAAAGCUCAAAUUUGAAAUCUGGCGUCUUUGGCGUCCGAGUUGUAAUUUGAAGAAGGUAUCUUUGGGCCCGGCUCUUGUCUAUGUUCCUUGGAACAGGACGUCACAGAGGGUGAGAAUCCCGUGCGAUGAGAUGACCCGGGUCUGUGUAAAGUUCCUUCGACGAGUCGAGUUGUUUGGGAAUGCAGCUCUAAGUGGGUGGUAAAUUCCAUCUAAAGCUAAAUAUUGGCGAGAGACCGAUAGCGAACAAGUACAGUGAUGGAAAGAUGAAAAGAACUUUGAAAAGAGAGUGAAAAAGUACGUGAAAUUGUUGAAAGGGAAGGGCUUGAGAUCAGACUUGGUAUUUUGCAUGUUGCUCUCUCGGGGGCGGCCGCUGCGGUUUACCGGGCCAGCAUCGGUUUGGAGCGGCAGGAUAAUGGCGGAGGAAUGUGGCACGGCUUCUGCUGUGUGUUAUAGCCUCUGACGAUACUGCCAGCCUAGACCGAGGACUGCGGUUUUUACCUAGGAUGUUGGCAUAAUGAUCUUAAGUCGCCCGUCUUGAAACACGGACCA
rnacentral:rRNA from 1 species